ACCUGGGCUCAAAUGUAUGUUGACGUAUUCUGAAAGGGAUACUUCUUCGGACAAUAUACAAGGUGCUGCAUGGUUGUCGUCAGCUCGUGCCGUGAGGUGUCGGGUUAGUCCCAUAACGAGCGCAACCCCUAUCAUUAGUUGCCAUCAGGUCAAGCUGGGGACUCGUAAUGAAACUGCCUACGCAAGUAGUGAGGAAGGUGGGGAUGGACGUCAAAUCAGCACGGCCCUUACGUCCAGGGCUACGACACGUGCUACAAUGGCCGGUACAAAGGGCAAGGCUACCUGGUGACAGGAUGCUAAUCUCCAAAAGUCGGUCUCAGUUCGGAUCGGAGUCUGCAACCCGACUCCGUGAAGUUGGAUUCGCUAGUAAUCGCGCAUCAGCCAUGGCGCGGUGAAUACGUUCCCGGGCCUU
rnacentral:rRNA from 1 species